AAGAUCCUACGGGACGCAGCAGUGGGGAAUAUUGCACAAUGGGGGGAACCCUGAUGCAGCGACGCCGCGUGGGUGAAGGAGUAUUUCGGUAUGUAAAGCCCUAUCAGCAGGGAAGAACAAUGACGGUACCUGACUAAGAAGCACCGGCUAAAUACGUGCCGGCAGCCGCGGUAAUACGUAUGGUGCAAGCGUUACCCGGAUUUACUGGGUGUAAAGGGAGCGCAGGCGGCGCGUUAAGCCUGGUGUGAAAGCCCGCGGCCCAACCGCGGGACUGCAUUGGGAACU
rnacentral:rRNA from 1 species